rnacentral:rRNA from 4 species
UCCGUAGGGGAACCUGCGGAGGGAUCAUUA